AUUGAACGCUGGCGGCAGGCCUAACACAUGCAAGUCGAACGAGUGGCGGACGGGUGAGUAAUGUCUGGGAAACUGCCUGAUGGAGGGGGAUAACUAAUGGAACCGGUAGCUAAUACCGCAUACCAUCGGAUGUGCCCAGAUGGGAUUAGCUAGUAGGUGGGGUAACGGCUCACCUAGGCGACGAUCCCUAGCUGGUAUGAGCGGAUGACCAGCCAGACUGUAACUGAGACACGGUCCAUACUCCUACGGGAGGCAGCAGUGGGGAAUCUGCGGCAAUGGACGAAAGUCUGACCGAGCCAUGCCGCGUGUGUGAAGAAGGUCUUCGGAUUGUAAAGCACUUUAAGUUAGGAGGCGUUACCAACAGAAUAAGCACCGGCUAACUUCGUGCCAGCAGCCGCGGUAAUAC
rnacentral:rRNA from 1 species